ACAUUCUUCAUUACGCUCUCUGUAUCUUCAUCAAAUUAUUUUCCUGAGGCACCCGCAGGUAGUGAGGGAGAGAGAGAGAGAGAGAGAGAUUAAGUGACAGCAUUCACUAAAAAUAAAAAUGUAAAAUGUUUUUUUUUUCUUAAACACGAGAUAUAGUAUUCAAAUUUAGGAUGUUUUUGAAAGACUCUAUAUUCUAUAAUCAGGUUAUAUAUACUUUCUCACAGAACAAUUGAAAUAUAUUUAUUUUAAAUCAUUUAUUUAUUUUAAAUCGUUCAUCUUUCUCCUCUCCUCUCUCGCACACACACAUUACUUUGGGUGCGAAAGAGUUUUGUUUUUAUUUUACGCUGAGGAAAAAAGUGUUUUGUUGAGGAUCCAUUUAUUUAACAACAAAGAAACAAAGAGGUAUUUAAAGAUGGAAGACUUGAAAGAGAAGAUUUCACCUCUGUUGAAACCUCGUGACCUAUUUAGUACUCUUGUUGGUGCUCAUCCAAUUCUUGCACCUGAUACAGACUCUUCUCCAAAGCAGUCAACUACCACUGAUAGCAAAAAUGAUUAUGUGCCCAAUUCAAAUGUAACACAUAAUACAUGUGGAAAUGUGACAAACACUGCAGGUAACCUUGAGAAUGGUAGUACAAAUCUGCAAUUUGGAUACGCCAACAAUAUCAACAUUAAGUAAUGCUGAUUUAAAAUAUGAAUUGUUCAGUUUAUCUGUUCAAAUUCCACUAAAGUCAACUUUGCCUUUCAUCCUUUCAGGGUCAGUGUAUUCAACUCAUUCCCUCCCCUGAAACUACUGGACUUGGGCCAAAGUGUGAAAACAUCAUUAUUAACAAAAAAUCAUUAUUAAAAAAGAAUGAAUGAAUAAAGAAAUUAUUAUUAUUAUUAUCAUUACUA